AUGGGAGAUGCCUUCAAUAUGCGUCACCCGUUAACAGGAGGUGGAAUGACUGUGGCUUUGUCUGACAUUGUUGUGCUGAGAAAUUUACUUAAACCUCUACAUGACCUGCAUGAUGCUUCUGCUCUUUGCAAAUACCUUGAAUCAUUCUACACCCUACGCAAGGUUGGUUCUAAGAUGACAAAUAAAUUUUAAAUGAAUUGAUUUUAGUUACAAGUGGUUUAUGUCUGGAUACAUUCGCGUAAAAGUAUAUUGAAUAAUAAAUUUAAAUAUAAAAAUCAUGUUUGGAGUUAAAAUCUACAAAUCACGCUUGAAGUGGGAGUCAGCACUAGAGGGAAAAUCAUUUUUAGUAAUCACGUCAUCCACACAUAUCAAAAUCAAUUGUCUUUGGAAUCGCUUUUGAACUUUGUUAGUAAGUAGUAACUAGUGCAAUGUUUAAACUUUAACGAAUUCUAAAAAAAGAAAAGAAAACUUAUUGCAUUGCUUGACUCUAUUUUUUGCAGCCAGUGGCAUCUACAAUAAACACAUUAGCAGGUGCAUUGUACAAAGUAUUUUGUGCCUCACCUGAUCCAGCUAGAAAGGAAAUGCGCCAAGCAUGUUUUGAUUAUUUGAGCCUUGGAGGUGUUUUCUCAGAUGGACCAAUAGCUCUACUCUCUGGUCUCAAUCCUCGUCCGCUCAGCUUGGUUCUCCAUUUCUUUGCUGUCGCUAUAUAUG
rnacentral:lncRNA from 1 species